GUCGGGAUAGCUCAGCUGGUAGAGCAGAGGACUGAAAAAAAAA
rnacentral:tRNA from 1 species